rnacentral:rRNA from 1 species
GACGAACGCUGGCGGCGUGCCUAAUACAUGCAAGUAGAACGCACAGUUUAUACCGUAGCUUGCUACACCAUAGACUGUGGGUUGCGAACGGGUGAGUAACGCGUAGGUAACCUGCCUGGUAGCGGGGGAUAACUAUUGGAAACGAUAGCUAAUACCGCAUAAUAUUGAUUAUUGCAUGAUAAUUGAUUGAAAGAUGCUAUUGCAUCACUACCAGAUGGACCUGCGUUGUAUUAGCUAGUAGGUGAGGUAACGGCUCACCUAGGCAACGAUACAUAGCCGACCUGAGAGGGUGAUCGGCCACACUGGGACUGAGACACGGCCCAGACUCCUACGGGAGGCAGCAGUAGGGAAUCUUCGGCAAUGGACGAAAGUCUGACCGAGCAACGCCGCGUGAGUGAAGAAGGUUUUCGGAUCGUAAAGCUCUGUUGUAAGAGAAGAACGGGUGUGAGAGUGGAAAGUUCACACUGUGACGGUAUCUUACCAGAAAGGGACGGCUAACUACGUG